AGCCCUAAGUGGGUGGUAAACUCCAUCUAAGGCUAAAUAUGACCACGAGACCGAUAGCGAACAAGUACCGUGAGGGAAAGUUGAAAAGCACUUUGAAGAGAGAGUUCAAGAGUACGUGAAACCGUUUAGGGGUAAACCUGAGAAACCCGAAAGGUCGAAGGGAGAAAUUCAUUCGCGUUUCGCCGUUGGCGUGAGACGGUCGUGUGACGGGAUGCGUUCGCGCGUAUUCCGCGCCUUCCGUUUUUCGAUCCGAUAGCGAACGCGUGCACUUUUCUCCUGGUAGGACGUCGCGAUCCGUUGGGUGUCGGUCUACGGCUCGCGGUGGAGCCCGGAUGUACGGCUUGCCGUCACGUUCGGACCCGCGUGUCCCGGCUGACUCGCUCGACGGUAUACGAAAGGUUCAAGGCCGCUCUUUGAGCGUUCGACUCGUCGCAAGCGCGCCAGUUGUGUCGGCGAUCGGACCUAGUGCCGGUUCUGACCUCUGGUGACUGUUGGCGGCGAAUGUCUCGAACAGACUUUAAACCGAUCGGCGACGCUAUAGCUUUGGGUACUUUCAG
rnacentral:rRNA from 1 species